UACGUAGGGUGCAAGCGUUACUCGGAAUUAUUGGGCGUAAAGCGUGCGCAGGCGGUGAUGUAAGUCAGAUGUGAAAUCCCCGGGCUCAACCUGGGAACUGCAUUUGUGACUGCAUCGCUGGAGUGCGGCAGAGGGGGAUGGAAUUCCGCGUGUAGCAGUGAAAUGCGUAGAUAUGCGGAGGAACACCGAUGGCGAAGGCAAUCCCCUGGGCCUGCACUGACGCUCAUGCACGAAAGCGUGGGGAGCAAACAGG
rnacentral:rRNA from 1 species